rnacentral:rRNA from 1 species
CGUACGCGUCUACGAGGAAGUUUCGUAGUACCUGGACGUCAGGAGUAAACGACUGGCGGCGCACAUAAGACAUGCAAGUCGAACGAACUUAACUCAUUCUUUUGUAUUGAGAGCGGUUAGUGGCGGACUGGUGAGUAACGACGUAAGGAACCUAGCCUUUUUAGAGGGGGAAUAACAAUGAGAAAUCAUUGCUAAUACCGCAUAUGCCAUAAUUAUCACAUGAUAAUAGUGGGAAAGGAGCAAUUCGCUAAAAGAUGGCCUUGCGUCUGAUUAGAUAGUUGGUAAGGUAACGGCUUACCAAGUCGACGAUCAGUAGCCGGACUGAGAGGUUGAACGGCCACAUUGGGACUGAGAUACGGCCCAGACUCCUACGGGAGGCAGCAGUCGGGAAUAUUGCGCAAUGGAGGAAACUCUGACGCAGUGACGCCGCGUAUAGGAAGAAGGUUUGCGGAUUGUAAACUAUUGUCGUUAGGGAAGAGAAAGGACAGUACCUAAGGAGGAAGCUCCGGCUAACUACGUG